rnacentral:rRNA from 1 species
UACGUAGGGUGCAAGCGUUUAAUCGGAAUUACUGGGCGUAAAGCGUGCGCAGGCGGUUGUGCAAGACCGAUGUGAAAUCCCCGGGCUUAACCUGGGAAUGGCAUUGGUGACUGCACGGCUAGAGUGUGUCAGGAGGGGGUAGAAUUCCACGUGUAGCAGUGAAAUGCGCAGAUAUCAGGAAGAACACCCGUGGCUAAGGCGGCUCUCUAGUACGGUACUGACGCUGAGACGCGAAAGCGUGGGGAGCGAACAGG